GCUGGCGGCGUGCCUAACACAUGCAAGUCGAACGAGAAAGUGGAGCAAUCCAUGAGUAAAGUGGCGACCGGGUGAGUAACACGUGACUAACCUACCUUCGAGUGGGGGAUAACCUCGGGAAACCGGGGCUAAUACCGCAUAAUGCCUUCGGGUUAAAGGAGCAAUUCGCUUGAAGAGGGGGUCGCGGCUGAUUAGCUAGUUGGCGGGGUAACGGCCCACCAAGGCGAUGGUCGGUAGCCGGCCUGAGAGGGCGCACGGCCACACUGGAACUGAAACACGGUCCAGACUCCUACGGGAGGCAGCAGUGGGGAAUUUUGCGCAAUGGGGGAAACCCUGACGCAGCAACGCCGCGUGGAGGAUGAAGUCCUUUGGGACGUAAACUCCUUUCGACCGGGACGAUAAUGACGGUACCGGUGGAAGAAGCCCCGGCUAACUUCGUGCCAGCAGCCGCGGUAAUACGAGGGGGGCGAGCGUUGUUCGGAAUUAUUGGGCGUAAAGGGCGCGUANGCGGUGCGGUAAGUCACCUGUGAAACCUCUGGGCUU
rnacentral:rRNA from 1 species